rnacentral:tRNA from 1 species
CUAGUCACCGGAUUAAACAAGACUAUGCAAAGACCUUUUUAGGUCUUUUUAGAGGGCUUCUAAGGUUAUUACAGC